rnacentral:lncRNA from 1 species
UGUGAAGCACUUUUUGAAUGGGAAUAUCUGCUCCCUCUUAUAUCUCACCCACCAGAAAAUCUCGUGGGACUUCAAAAUGUUGGUACUUUUUAUCACAUGAAUUCUGUGAUCCAGCAGCCAUAUAUAUAUGUGUGUGUGUGUGUGUUUGUGUGUGUAUAUAUAUUCCAAUGGAGACAGUAUUCUUGCAAUUGAAUGCAUAGGUAAAAAUACAGACAAUGAUUUUAUGAAGAUGAGAAGCAGAACAGUGAGAAUGUUGAUCCCCAAGAUAAUUUACUAGAAUAUUUUUAUUAAUUUGAAGACAAAUCAGAGUUAAGUAAGACAGGAGGUAGAAAAGAGUACAAUAUUAGUGUCCUAAGGCACCUUCAAGACAUCUUUGUUCAUUUAGCUAUUUUCAAACUACAGUCCUAUAUACCCAAAGAAUUUUGGUAACAA